rnacentral:rRNA from 1 species
UAGGGAAUAUUGCGCAAUGGGCGAAAGCCUGACGCAGCGAUGCCGCAUGAGUGAGGAAGGUCCUCGGAUUGUAAAGCUCUGUCAGGGUAGAAAAAUGACCUAUUUUCGAACAGGGAGUAGGUUUGAUGGUAUACCCAAAGGAAGCACCGGCUAACUUCGUGCCAGCAGCCGCGGUAAUACGAAGGGGGCUAGCGUUGUUCGGAAUUACUGGGCGUAAAGGGCGCGUAGGCGGCGCAUCAAGUCAGACGUGAAAGCCCCGGGCUUAACCUGGGAAUUGCGUUUGAUACUGAUGUGCUUGAGUUCGGGAGAGGUGAGUGGAAUUCCCAGUGUAGAGGUGAAAUUCGUAGAUAUUGGGAAGAACACCGGUGGCGAAGGCGGCUCACUGGACCGACACUGACGCUGAGGCGCGAAAGCGUGGGGAGCAAACAGG